UGGGGAAUAUUGCACAAUGGGCGCAAGCCUGAUGCAGCCAUGCCGCGUGUAUGAAGAAGGCCUUCGGGUUGUAAAGUACCUUCAGCGAGGAGGAAGGCGUUGUGGUUAAUAACCGCAACGAUUGACGUUACUCGCAGAAGAAGCACCGGCUAACUCCGUGCCAGCAGCCGCGGUAAUACGGAGGGUGCAAGCGUUAAUCGGAAUUACUGGGCGUAAAGCGCACGCAGGCGGUCUGUCAAGUCGGAUGUGAAAUCCCCGGGCUCAACCUGGGAACUGCAUCCGAAACUGGCAGGCUAGAGUCUUGUAGAGGGGGGUAGAAUUCCAGGUGUAGCGGUGAAAUGCGUAGAGAUCUGGAGGAAUACCGGUGGCGAAGGCGGCCCCCUGGACAAAGACUGACGCUCAGGUGCGAAAGCGUGGGGAGCAAACA
rnacentral:rRNA from 1 species